rnacentral:rRNA from 1 species
CUCAGUUCAGAUUGCAGGCUGCAACUCGCCUGCAUGAAGUCGGAAUUGCUAGUAAUCGCAGAUCAGCAUGCUGCGGUGAAUACGUUCCCGGGCCUUGUACACACCGCCCGUCACACCAUGGGAGUCGGUAACACCCGAAGUCGGUAGCCUAACCGUAAGGAGGGCGCCGCCGAAGGUGGGAUUGAUGACUGGGGUGAAGUCGUAACAAGGUAUC